GCUGGGGUCGCCUAGUCCGGUAGGGCGGCAGCCUGCUAAGCUGUUCUCCCAAAAGGAGUCGAGGGUUCAAAUCCCUCCCCCGGCG
rnacentral:tRNA from 1 species